rnacentral:rRNA from 1 species
UGGGGAAUUUUGGACAAUGGGCGAAAGCCUGAUCCAGCAAUGCCGCGUGUGUGAAGAAGGCCUUCGGGUUGUAAAGCACUUUUGUCCGGAAAGAAAUCCUUGGCUCUAAUACAGUCGGGGGAUGACGGUACCGGAAGAAUAAGCACCGGCUAACUACGUGCCAGCAGCCGCGGUAAUACGUAGGGUGCAAGCGUUAAUCGGAAUUACUGGGCGUAAAGCGUGCGCAGGCGGUUUGCUAAGACCGAUGUGAAAUCCCCGGGCUCAACCUGGGAACUGCAUUGGUGACUGGCAGGCUAGAGUAUGGCAGAGGGGGGUAGAAUUCCACGUGUAGCAGUGAAAUGCGUAGAGAUGUGGAGGAAUACCGAUGGCGAAGGCAGCCCCCUGGGCCAAAUACUGACGCUCAUGCACGAAAGCGUGGGGAGCAAAACAGGAUUAGAUACCCUGGUAGUCCACGCCCUAAAACGAUGUCAACUAGUUGUUGGGGAUUCAUUUCCUUAGUAACGUAGCUAGCGCGUGAAGUUGACCGCCUGGGGAGUACGGUCGCAAGAUUAAAACUCAAAUGAAUUGACGGGGUCAUAGCUGUUUCCU